GCUCAACCCCGGAANUGCAUUUGAAANUGGAGAACUUGAGUACUGGAGAGGUAAGUGGANUUCNUAGUGUAGCGGUGAAAUGCGUAGAUAUUAGGAGGAACACCAGUGGCGNANGNCGACUNACUGGACAGAUACUGACGNUGAGGAGCGAAAGUGUGGGGAGCAAACAGGAUUAGAUACCCUGGUAGNNCACGCCGUAAACGAUGAGUGCUAGGUGUUGGGGAGACUCAGUGCCGUAGUUAACACAAUAAGCACUCCGCCUGGGGAGUACGGUCGCAAGACUGAAACUCAAAGGAAUUGACGGGGACCCGCACAAGCAGCGGAGCAUGUGGUUUAAUUCGAAGCAACGCGAAGAACCUUACCAGGUCUUGACAUC
rnacentral:rRNA from 1 species